UCCGAUUCACAAUCCACGAAGUCCUACACGAUCUUAGGAAUACGUAGAACAACAUAUUUUAAUUGGAAAACGAUCCAACGAUCAGAACCUAUCGAACCCGGAUAACGCACAAUAUGCGAAAAUCCGUUCGAUAGUCAAACGAUGUCCGAAUUGAGAUCCGCAAAAUCCUACUCACUCGUGACAACCAGGAGAUCGCAUUGGGAUCAUAAUGCCCCUCUGCUAUAGUGCCCACGCGCCACCACAAGCGCCGGCAGUGCGCGGGUGUCCAAAGCGAUAAAGCUUCGUCGGAAAAUCUCCAAAUUACAAGCCACCCUCCCGGC
rnacentral:lncRNA from 1 species